rnacentral:misc_RNA from 1 species
GAUGAAGAACGGAGUGAAAUGCGAUAAGUAGUGUGAAUUGCAGAAUUCAGUGAAUCAUCGAAUCUUUGAACGCACAUUGCGCCCCUUGGUAUUCCAUGGGGCAUGCCUGUUCGAGCGUCAUUUGUACCUUCAAGCUUUGCUUAGUGUUGGGUGUUUGUCUCGCCUUUGCGUGUAGACUCGCCUUAAAAUAAUUGGCAGCCGGCGUAUUGAUUUCGGAGCGCAGUACAUCUCGCGCUUUGCACUCAUAACGACAGCGUCCAAAAGUACAUUUUACACUCUUGACCUCGGAUCAGGUAGGGAUACCCGCUGAACUUAAGCAUAUCAAUAAGCGGAGGA